CUUCCGUAGGUGAACCUGCGGAGGGAUCAUUACCGAGUUUACAACUCCCAAACCCCUGUGAACAUACCUAUAAUUUGCCUCGGCAGACUCAACGACGGUGCUCCGAGAAAUCGGGCGCCGCUCGCUGCCAGAGGAACCCCAAACUCUAUGUAUUCUUGUGGAUCUUCUGAGUAAAACAAAACAAAUAAAUCAAAACUUUCAACAACGGAUCUCUUGGUUCUGGCAUCGAUGAAGAACGCAGCGAAAUGCGAUAAGUAAUGUGAAUUGCAGAAUUCAGUGAAUCAUCGAAUCUUUGAACGCACAUUGCGCCCGCCAGUAUUCUGGCGGGCAUGCCUGUUCGAGCGUCAUUUCAACCCUCAAGCCCCCGGGCUUGGUGUUGGGGAUCGGCGAUAGUCGCCGUCCCCCAAAUCUAGUGGCGGUCUCGCUGUAGCCUCCAUUGCGUAGUAGCUAACACCUCGCAACUGGAACGCGGCGCGGCCAAGCCGUUAAACCCCCAACUUCUGAAUGUUGACCUCGGAUCAGGUAGGAAUACCCGCUGAACUUAAGCAUAUCAAUAAGCGGA
rnacentral:rRNA from 1 species